UACGAGGGGGGCGAGCGUUGUUCGGAAUUACUGGGCGUAAAGGGCGCGUAGGCGGCACGGCAAGUCAGGAGUGAAAGGCCUGGGCUCAACCGAGGAACUGCUUUUGAGACUGCCGAGCUAGAGUGCAGAAGGGGCAACUGGAAUUCCCAGUGUAGCGGUGAAAUGCGUAGAUAUUGGGAAGAACACCUGAGGCGAAGGCGGGUUGCUGGGCUGACACUGACGCUGAGGCGCGAAAGCCAGGGGAGCAAACGGG
rnacentral:rRNA from 1 species